GGUCUUCGAGGCCUGUUAAGUUCUCCCAUUUAAUUAUCCCUCAUUGGGUCUUCACAGCCCGCUGAAUGUUCCCAUUCAAUUUUCUCCAUCAGGUCUUGACAAGCUGGGCACUCGAAAUCCAAGUGAAUAAUAGAGGGGAUGAGGAGUGAUUGGCUUCAUGCCACUUACCCUGUUUGACAUCCCAUUGCGGGUCUUCAAGGCCCGUCGAAUCCGUUUCAUUCUCUCAUUCGGGUCUUCAUGGCCUGUUGGAGUUUCCUCUGCAGGCCUUCAAGGCUUAUUUCAUUCUCCCGUUUAAUUCUCUCUUUCAGGUCUUCAUGGCCUGGGAACUCUAAUGGAAAAGGAAUAUUUGCUGGGGAACAGGAGAGACCGGCUUCAUGCCGUUCACCCCGUCUGCUUGGCCUGUUUAAUUCUCACACUUAAUUCUCUCCCUCAGGCCUUCAUGGCUUGUCAAAUUCACUUUUAGGUUUUGUCGACCUGUUUAAUUCCCACAUUCAUACUGUCUGGCUGAUUUCAUUAUUCCAUUCAAUUCUCCCUUGCGGGUCUUUACGGCCUGCUGAAUUCUCUCCUACAGGUCCUCUCAGUCUGUUCAAAAGUCUUCAUGGCUUAUUUAAUUCUCCCACUAAUUUGUCUCCUUCAGGUUUUCAGAGCACGUUAAACUCCUUCUCUUCAGGUCUUUAGGGCCUGUGUUCUCCAGGGAACUGAAAGAUUAUUUGAGGAAAAAAGGAGAGAUUGGCUUCAUGCAAAAUCUCUCAGAUCACCCUCUACCCCAGGUCUUAAUGGCACUGUCUGGUAGAGAGCAAACAUUUGAGGUGGCAGUAGAGAAGACCCUCGGGAUAAUUCCUCCCACCACCCCUGGAAGGGUUUCCCCUUUAUCCUCUCUCCCUGGCUGCUCAGCCUUCUCAGAAGAAGACAGAGUCCCGCAGGUCCUCUGCAUCAGGUUUGCAGCCCUCCCACUCCAUCGGGUCAUUAGCUCACGUCUCUCCUGCCUCUCCCAUGGAAGCAGCAACCUCGGAAGGUUCAGCACAGCCUCCUCAAAGGACCAAAGAGAAAGUUAAGGGCCAGCGUGGAUGAACAAAGACUCCAUCUGUGGUACACGGCUGGAGAAGAGCAACGGAAAUCCGGCAACUCUGGUUGGAAAAAAUCAGGCAGCUCUUAAAAGAAACCCGUUGCGGGUCCAAGCCGCAGCUUCCGGUCUUUAUGGCCCAGACUACUGGAAAGGGAAAACAAAGUAUUUGCAUUGUGCAAAAAGUCUUGGUUUAAUCUUAACCCUGGAGUCUCCUGGGAAGAACUCCUUCUCCCCUCACCCCAGUCUUCAAGCCCCAGGUGCUGAAGGGAGGGAGAAAAUUACUUCUUGCUGUAUAGCCCCAUCAAACCAUCAGCUCCUCCUGGUCUUUGGGGCUUAGGGCAGGAGGAAAGGAAAUCUGCAGAAGCCAAGAGGGAAAUGGCUCCGGGCAGAGUCCGAAUAAUCUGGGGCUUUUUUUUUUAAAUCAACCUCUGGCCUACAGGGCCGGGUUUCAAAUUUCAACAAGAAAAACGGGCAAAGUUCUAUGGCAUCAUACCAAAAUUAUGAUGUACCAUCCAAAUGACUAAAGCCCAGCCCAGGGAUAAAUCCUUUCCCAUCUCCCUCCAUUGUUUUCCACAAAAACAUACUGGAUUUGCCACCACCCAAUCCAUGUUCAAUGGAAUAUUAUUUUUAUCUAAUUUAGAUAAUGUAAAGAUAAAAACAGGUCCUCCAGGAAUCAAAUCAGAUUUUUUAAGCCGAUAAACUAGUUAAAAUGAAAUAAAAAUAUAAAAUGAGGCUAGGAAACACAAAACUCAGUAAAAUACUUUAAAAUUAAAAUUAAGAAUUAAAGUCCUCACUGACAUAGAAAAACACAGAACACUCAAACCAAUAAACUAGUUAAAGUAAAAUAAUUAUAAAAUAAAGCUGGGAAUACAAAACUCAAUGAAAUAGCUUAACAUUAAAAUUAAGAAUUAAAAGCCUCACUGACAUAUAAAACGCACAUAAUAGUCAUUUCCAUUGGACGUGGAUAUGUGGAGCUUUUUCAGAAUAAAGAAAUAACCCUCUUGGGUCUAUGCAUUCGGAAGAGGAGAGAUGGGAAAGCGUAUCUUUGUCUUUUUGGUUAUCAAACAUCCUAAUCCCGGUUCCCGCCACAUGUCCGCUGGGUGAUCCUGGGCAAGUCACUCCAUUUCUCUGUCCCUCCGU